GAAUUGACGGGGCCCGCACAAGCAGCGGAGUAUGUGGUUUAAUUCGAAGCAACGCGAAGAACCUUACCUAGACUUGACAUCUCCUGAAUUACCCGUAACUGGGGAAGCUCUUCGGAGCAGGAAGACAGGUGGUGCAUGGUUGUCGUCAGCUCGUGUCGUGAGAUGUUGGGUUAAGUCCCGCAACGAGCGCAACCCUUAUCGUUAGUUGCUACCAUUAGGUUGGGCACUCUAGCGAGACUGCCGGUAAUAAACCGGAGGAAGGUGGGGAUGACGUCAAAUCAUCAUGCCCCUUAUGACCUGGGCUACACACGUGCUACAAUGGUUGGUACAACGAGUUGCGAGUCGGUGACGGCGAGCUAAUCUCUUAAAGCCAAUCUCAGUUCGGAUUGUAGGCUGCAACUCGCCUACAUGAAGUCGGAAUCGCUAGUAAUCGCGGAUCAGCACGCCGCGGUGAAUACGUUCCCGGGCCUU
rnacentral:rRNA from 1 species